rnacentral:rRNA from 1 species
GAUAAACGCUGGCGGCGUGCAUAACACAUGCAAGUCGAACGAUGAAGCUUAAAAGAUUUCUUCGGAAUGAACUUAAUUGGAUUAGUGGCGGACGGGUGAGUAACGCGUGAGUAACCUGCCUUGUACAAGGGGAUAGCCGUUGGAAACGACGAAUAAUACCCUAUGACAUCAAAUAAUCGCAUGAUACUUUGAUCAAAGAAUUAUCGGUAUAAGAUGGACUCGCUUCUGAUUAGCUAGGUGGUAGAGUAAAAGCCUACCAAGGCAACGAUCAGUAGCCGGAUGGAGAGAGGGUACGGCGAGACUGGGACUGAGACAAGACCCCGACUCCUACGGGAGGCAGCAGUGGGGAAUUUUGGACAAGGAGGGAAAUGCUGAUGCGGCGAGGGCGCGAGAUUUAGAAGGCCUUCGGGUUGUAAAAAUCUUUUGUAUGGGAAGAAAAUGACAGUACCAGACGAAUAAGGACCGGCUAAUUACGUG